AUUCAACGCUGGCGGCAUGCCUUACACAUGCAAGUCGAACGGCAGCACGGGAGCAAUCCUGGUGGCGAGUGGCGAACGGGUGAGUAAUACAUCGGAACGUGCCCAGUAGUGGGGGAUAACCCGGCGAAAGCCGGACUAAUACCGCAUACGACCUACGGGUGAAAGCGGGGGAUCGCAAGACCUCGCGCUAUCGGAGCGGCCGAUGUCAGAUUAGCUAGUUGGUGGGGUAAAGGCCUACCAAGGCGACGAUCUGUAGCUGGUCUGAGAGGACGACCAGCCACACUGGGACUGAGACACGGCCCAGACUCCUACGGGAGGCAGCAGUGGGGAAUUUUGGACAAUGGGCGCAAGCCUGAUCCAGCCAUGCCGCGUGCGGGAAGAAGGCCUUCGGGUUGUAAACCGCUUUUGUCAGGGAAGAAACGCUCCGGGCUAAUACCACGGAGUAAUGACGGUACCUGAAGAAUAAGCACCGGCUAACUACGUG
rnacentral:rRNA from 1 species